rnacentral:rRNA from 1 species
UGGGGAAUUGUUCACAAUGGGCGCAAGCCUGAUGACGCAACGCCGCGUGGAGGAUGAAGGUCUUCGGAUUGUAAACUCCUGUUGCUCGGGAAGAAUGGCUCCGACCUAAUACGUCGGAGUAUGACGGUACCGGGUGAGGAAGCCCCGGCUAACUCUGUGCCAGCAGCCGCGGUAAUACAGAGGGGGCAAGCGUUGUUCGGAAUUACUGGGCGUAAAGGGCGCGUAGGCGGCCUGUUAAGUCGAACGUGAAAUCCCCGGGCUCAACCCGGGAACUGCGUCCGAUACUAGCAGGCUUGAAUCCGGGAGAGGGAUGUGGAAUUCCAGGUGUAGCGGUGAAAUGCGUAGAUAUCUGGAGGAACACCGGUGGCGAAGGCGGCAUCCUGGACCGGUAUUGACGCUGAGGCGCGAAAGCCAGGGGAGCAAACGGGGAUUAGAUACCCCCGGUAGUCCUGGCCCUAAACGAUGAAUGCUUGGUGUGGCGGGUAUCGAUCCCUGCCGUGCCGAAGCUAACG